rnacentral:piRNA from 1 species
UGGAAAACUGUGUCUCUUUUGUCAAAA